rnacentral:rRNA from 1 species
ACCGGGAGAACUGAAACAUCUAAGUACCCCGAGGAAAAGAAAUCAACCGAGAUUCCGCAAGUAGCGGCGAGCGAACGCGGAGAAGCCCAAUUAAGUUGCGUAUGAGUUAGUAGAACAUCCUGGGAAGGGUGGCCAUAGAGGGUGAUAGCCCCGUAUACGAAAGCCAUACACAAUGAAUCGAGUAGGGCGGGACACGUGAAAUCCUGUCUGAACAUGGGGGGACCAUCCUCCAAGGCUAAAUACUCGUUGUCGACCGAUAGUGAACCAGUACCGUGAGGGAAAGGCGAAAAGAACCCUGGUGAAGGGAGUGAAAUAGAACCUGAAACCGUGUGCAUACAAGCAGUCAGAGCAUAUGAAGAUAUGUGAUGGCGUACCUUUUGUAUAAUGGGUCAGCGAGUUACAUUCAGUGGCGAGGUUAACCGAAUAGGGGAGCCGUAGCGAAAGCGAGUCUUAAUAGGGCGAUAAGUCUCUGGGUGUAGACCCGAAACCGGGCGAUCUAUCCAUGGGCAGGUUGAAGGUUGAGUAACAUCAACUGGAGGACCGAACCCACGCAUGUUGAAAAAUGCGGGGAUGACCUGUGGAUAGGAGUGAAAGGCUAAACAAGCUCGGAGAUAGCUGGUUCUCCCCGAAAACUAUUGAGGUAGUGCCUUGUAGAUUGACUUACGGGGGUAGAGCACUGUUUCGGCUAGGGGGUCAUACCGACUUACCAACCCGAUGCAAACUCCGAAUACCGUAAAGUUUUACUACAGGAGACACACGGCGGGUGCUAACGUCCGUCGUGAAGAGGGAAACAACCCAGACCGCCAGCUAAGGUCCCGAAAUGACAGUUCAGUGGGAAACGAAGUGGGAAGGCUUAGACAGCUAGGAGGUUGGCUUAGAAGCAGCCAUCCUUUAAAGAAAGCGUAAUAGCUCACUAGUCGAGUCGUCCUGCGCGGAAGAUUUACCGGGGCUAAACUGUCUACCGAAGCUGCGGAUUUGCAUGAAGAUGCAAGUGGUAGGGGAGCGUUGUGUAAGCCGAAGAAGGUGUGUUGAGAAGCAUGCUGGAGGUAUCACAAGUGCGAAUGCUGACAUGAGUAACGAUAAUGCGGGUGAAAAACCCGCACACCGAAAACCCAAGGUUUCCUGCGCAACGCUAAUCGGCGCAGGGUGAGUCGGCCCCUAAGGCGAGGCGGAAACGCGUAGUCGAUGGGAAACAGGUUAAUAUUCCUGUACUGAUCAUAAUUGCGAUGGGGGGACGGAGAAAGCUAGGCCAGCACACUGUUGGAUGUGUGUUUAAGCGCGUAGGUUGGGGAUUUAGGCAAAUCCGGGUUCCUAAGACUGAAACGUGAUGACGAGUUUCUACGGAAACGAAGUGGUUGAUGCUCUGCUUCCAGGAAAAGCCUCUAAGCUUCAGAUUAUGACAACCGUACCCCAAACCGACACAGGUGGGUAGGAAGAGAAUUCCAAGGUGCUUGAGAGAACUCGGGUAAAGGAACUCGGCAAAAUGAUACCGUAACUUCGGGAUAAGGUAUGCCUCUGAUGGUGAAUAGCUGUUGGAGGCCGCAGAGAAUAGGCCGCUGCGACUGUUUAUCAAAAACACAGCACUCUGCAAACACGCAAGUGGACGUAUAGGGUGUGACGCCUGCCCGGUGCCGGAAGGUUAAUUGAUGGGGUGCAAGCUCUUGAUCGAAGCCCCGGUAAACGGCGGCCGUAACUAUAACGGUCCUAAGGUAGCGAAAUUCCUUGUCGGGU